GAUGAAGAACGUAGCGAAAUGCGAUACGUAGUGUGAAUUGCAGAAUUCAGUGAAUCAUCGAAUCUUUGAACGCACAUUGCGCCCUUUGGUAUUCCAAAGGGCAUGCCUGUUCGAGCGUCAUUUGUACCCUCAAGCUUUGCUUGGUGUUGGGCGUCUUGUCUCCAGUCCGCUGGAGACUCGCCUUAAAGUCAUUGGCAGCCGGCCUACUGGUUUCGGAGCGCAGCACAUGUCGCACUCUUUUCCAGCCAAGGUCAGUGUCCAACAAGCCUUUUUUCAACUUUUGACCUCGGAUCAGGUAGGGAUACCCGCUGAACUUAAGCAUAUCAAUAAGCGGAGGA
rnacentral:misc_RNA from 1 species